AUUUUCAGGAAAGUCAAUUACUUGAAAUAAACGGAGCCUAAGCCAUACAUGUGUAAGUAUAAACUAAUUCAGACUGUGAAACUGCGAAUGACUCAUUAAAUCAGUUAUAGUUUGUUUGAUGGUAUUUUCUACUCAUAUAACCGUAGUAAUUCUAAAGCUAAUAUGUGAAACAAACCCCGACUUUUAAAAGGGAUGAAUUUAUUAGAUAAAAGGUGAACUCUGAUGAUUCAUGAUAACUCGAUGGAUUGUACGACCCUUGUGCCAACGAUGCAUCAUUUAAAUUUCGAUUGGCCUACUAUGAUAGUGAUGGGUGACAGAGAAUUAGAGUUCGAUUCUGGAGAGGAAGCUUAAAAAACAACUACCACAUCCAAGAAAGGCAACAGGCGCGCAAAUUAUCCAAUCCUGACACAGGGAGGUAGUGACAAUAAAUAAAAAUAGUGGGCUCUAUGAGCAUGGUAAUUAGAAUGAGUACAAUAUUAAUCCCUUAAUGAGGAUACAUUGGAGAGCAAGUCUGGUCAACAACAAUGGUAGCUUUAGCUCCAAUAGCAUAUAUUUAAAUUAUUAUAGUUAAAAAGCUCGUAGUUCAUCCUAGUGGUGGGUCAAAUGGUCUGCCUCACGGUGAAUAUCAGUCUGCUCGUCCCUACUUCAGUGAUGCACUCCUAGCCUUAAUUAGUCAGCUCAUUCUUGUGGUGUUGUUAUUUUGAAGAUAUUAGAGUGCUCAAAGCAUGUCUAUGCUUGUAUACAUUAGCAUGAGAUAACAUCAAAAGAUUUCAAUCCUAUUGUGUUGGCCUUCGGGAUCAGAGUAAUAAUUAAUACAAACAAUUAAAGGCAAUCGUAUUUCAUAGUAAGAGGAUAAAUUAUUGAAUUUAUGAAAGACAAAAAAUUGCAAAAGCAUUUUGCAAGGAUGUUUUCAUUAAUCAAGAACAAAAAUUGAGGGCUCGAAGAUGACCAGAUACCGUCAUAGUCUUAAUCAUAAAUAAUGUUGACCAGGGAUCGAAAGAUAUUACUUUUAGGACUUCGUCGGCACAUUAUAAGAAAUCAAAGUCUUUGGGUUCCGGGGGGAGUAUGGUCACAAGGCUAAAACUUAAAGGAAUGGCCAGAAGGGCACCACUAGGAGUAGAGCCUACAGAUUAAUUUGACUCAACACGGGGAAACUUACAAGGUCCAUACAUAGUAAGGAUUGACAGACUGAGAGCUCUUUUUUUAUUCUAUCGAUGGUGGUGCAUGGUUCUUCUUAGUUAGUGGAGUGAUUUGUUUGGUUAAUUCUGUUAACAAAUGAUACCUCAGCCUAUAAACUAGCUACACUGAGGUGAUCCUUCGUGGUUGGCUUCUUAGAAGGACUAUGACCGUUUAGGCCAAGAAAGUCUGAGGUAAUAAUAGGUCUGUAAUGCCUUUCAAAAUUUCAUCGUGAUAAGGAGAGAUCAUUGCAAUUAUUGGUCUUUAACAAGAAAUUCCUCCUAAACGCAAGUCAUCAUCUCGUGUUGACUACGUCCUUACUCUUUGUACACACCACCUGUCGCUCCUACCGAUUUAAUGAUCUGAUGAAGUGCUAAGGUCAUGGUGAUGUGGGCAGUUCAUUGCUUGCGACAUCAUGAUAAGUCCAUUAAACCUUAUCAUUUAAACGAAGAAUAAGUCGUACCAAGGUAUCCGUAGGUGAAACUAUGGAAU
rnacentral:rRNA from 1 species